UGAAAUAUUGAUUAAUAGUAUGAGCUAGGACAGGUAGGUAGUAUAGGGUAGCACAGAGGUAAUAUGGGAAGAUGAUUAUAGAUACACAUUCAUUUAUUUUAAUUUUCUUUUAUCUUUCUUUUCUUUCAUUUCUUCUCUACGAGUACUUCGCAGACUGUUUGGCUCGGCGCCUAGGGUUUUCGUGGCCGGCGAGGAGUCCUUCGCUACCCGCCGUGGAGGCGACUCGUGCCACGCCCUAAGCUCGGCCCCUGGGAGGAGGGCGGGCAAUGGCUCAGCCCCACGGCCGACGCUCGCCGCGGAGAAGGGAUCCGUGGCGGAUCGGCCCCCCGUCUGUCGCUCGCCGCCGGGGAGGCGGCGCAUCUCGCACCUGACGCAAACCCAUGGGAGGAUGGUAGGCAGCGGCUCGGCUCCGCUGGGGAGUCGGCCUGCGCACGCCCCGCAGCUCGCCACAGGGGAAUGGCAUCAGGCCUCGCUCGGCCGUCAACUCCUUGGAGGCGGCGACCCCCGCGACCCGUGGCCUCCGGCGGGAAUGGCGGCGCUCGGCUCGCGGAUCCGUGAAGUCAGCCCCGCACGCCGCCGCCUCUCGCCGCCGAGUGAGGGUGAGGGUGAGUGCGAGAUCCAGAUCCGGGGCCCCAAUCCACGGCUCGCGCAGGCGUCGUACCGCGAGUUCCGCGCCGCCGGCGAGAGCGUGCGCCGCCACGACGUCCAUUCCUCCUACGCCACCGCGGCAAGCUGCAGGUGGAGCGGCGGCGCUGGCCCCCUCGACGGGUCGAUCGCGGCCACGUGCGCGCGCGCCACCACGCUGUCGCUUCCUCCUCCGCCACCGCGGCGAGCAGCAGCGGGAGAGGCAUUGGACCCCGCCUGCUCACAAGCCUCUGCUUCCCCGUCGUCUUCCUCUCCUCUUCUCCAACCGUUCGACCCCGCAAGGUCUUAUAAAAUCGAUCGUGGAGACAGAUAAUUGAGCAGGCAUGCUACUAUUUAAGGUGCAGAAAUACAGGGUACAGAUAAUUGGUUGGUCGUUUUCUUUUCUCUCAUGCAUAUCCCUUUAUGUAGGCAUGCUGAUUGAGUGAUCAUGCACAGCAUGUGUGGAUCCUGAUAAUUGUAUAGGAGUGGAUUUAGCAUUCUAGCCUUGGCACUGUUGGUGGUUGCCAUGAUGAAUUGUUGUUCUUUAGAGCGGUCACGAUGAAUUAUUGCUACCUGAUGGGGAAAAGGGGAUCAAUACCAUCAGUUACUAUGUGAUUUGCAUUGUGUUAUGAGUGAUUGCCUUGUGACUAGUAGCUACUUUUGGUAAGUAUCAAACAAUUUUGUGACUCUCGGGUUCCUAUUUGUUUAGAGGUAGUAAAUUGCUAAAGAUUUUAACUUGUUGCAAGGUGCUGCUUAUUUUUGGAUUUAUUUUGUGACAAUAUUGUUUGUCUAAGCUUGAUCAGAGAAAAUGUGAUGAUUGGAUAUUUCUUUGGAUUUUCAGUAAUAAUAGAAGCGAUGAUGUAGUUCACGAGAAAUUAGUUGAGCUUAUAAAUGCGCAUGAAAAUUUAUUCGAGCAUGUAGCAGAGGGUAGGCUGUUAGUAUGGCAUUUACAUGUUGCAUGAUCUACUCCUGCAGGCUGAUUGGCUAAUAUUUUAGAAUUUCAUUUGUUUGGGAUAGCUGUAGGGAACUUAUCUGAUAUUGCACUUGCUGGUUUUGCAUGUGAGCAAGAUUCUCGAUGACUAGAUGAACUGUGACAUUAUAAAGAUUGCUGGACUUGUAAGAAUAAAGGCUGCUGGAAAAUGUGAGUGAGUGACACCACAUUAUGUAGGAAAAGACUAAGGCUCAUAAAGUAUGUACCUUGUGAGGUGCUAUCCGUCGGAAGUGGUUCAUCAGGGAUCACAAUAUCUUGGGUAUCUUCUCUCUCCUUGUUGCCCUAGCUGAAUUUAGAUAAACAAUUCUGUUAUGAUCAGUAUGUAUCUGUUGGCAUACCUGCAAAAGAACUAGGUUCCCUUUAAGAUUUGCUGCCUUUGCCACUCUGUAUUCCCUUAUGCUUGCGAUCAAGAAAUUGAAAGCGAGGCUGGUCCAGUUGAGGUUCUUGAUACUUUCCACGUUUUCAAUAAGGCCAAGAUAAUCCUACUUGACAUAUGGCUGUAGUGUUGGGCACAAGUAGAAACCAAUGGUGUACAGAACAAAUAUGCGAAUGAAGUCAUCACCAUAUGAGCUGUUUUUGUUGAAAAAUUCCCUCAACGAUUUUGAAGAUAUUUUAGUAUCAUCUUUCCAUGUGUAUUUUUGGAACAGACCAGGAACAUGCUUUUGUGGAGGUUCCUUUAUUUUAUCGCCUUGGGAUGGAAGGCCCAGUAUAUGCUGACCAUCUUUCAUACUCAACUUGAGCCUCUUUCCAUUUAUGAUGAACUCUUCAGUGUCAAGGUCGAAACAGCAGGCAAUGUCCUUGCAUAGGUCUCUUCUAAUCUCUAGUUCUUUCAACUUUAGUAAAGAACCAAAACCUGCUGCAGUAAUGGCAUCCUUCUGAUCUUGACUGAACCCAUUCGUUAUCUCGACUAGUAUUUUCUGUGAGCAUUUACAUGUUCCCUGCAUUAUAAAAAGAUUUUGAAUCACAUCUUAUAUUUGUGAAGAAAAAGAAAGCUUCCUUAGCGGUACUACCUUAUCUACUAUGUUGGUCAUUUGGAGGGAAAGCAAAACCGUCCAAUUUUGACUGUUUUCUGAUUCAGAAUAGUAGAUUAUGAAUUUAUGUUAUGUCCAACAAUAAUGAUGAUUUUUUUCGAUAGGUGCCAUGCAAGAGAUUUACUAGCCCAAAGGAGCAUCCUCCAUUGGAUUGCAGGACUCCAAAGUGUUUAUUGUACUUCAUUCCAAUAAUUAAAUUAAUCAUUGCACUGAAGAGAAAUUUAACAUUAUUCAGUAGUUGAUUAUUAUUUUCUGUAACCGAAGUUAUCUGCAAGAAUUGGGAUUUCUUUAACAAGGUAUUAUGGUGAAAAGAAGACUGACAUGGCCUCUUGAGUUGUUUUCCUUCUUCAACUGGCUUGGCGGCUCAAACAUACUGGUGUUUGGUGUAGUCUGCACAUGUCGAGGCUGUGAUUUUUUUGCCCUCUAAUUUUGUCUAUUCAAACUUUGCAGGAAUUCAUAAAUAUGGUUGUUGUAAUGAGAUGUAAAAGUAUACUUACAGUGGAUGACUAGUAUUAUGAACUUUUGCUUG